CUGUAAGCCUGUGAAGGUGUACUGUGAGGUAUGCUGGAGGUAUCAGAAGUGCGAAUGCUGACAUAAGUAACGAUAAAGCGGGUGAAAAGCCCGCUCGCCGGAAGACCAAGGGUUCCUGUCCAACGUUAAUCGGGGCAGGGUGAGUCGACCCCUAAGGCGAGGCCGAAAGGCGUAGUCGAUGGGAAACAGGUUAAUAUUCCUGUACUUGGUGUUACUGCGAAGGGGGGACGGAGAAGGCUAUGUU
rnacentral:rRNA from 1 species